GACGUAGGGCGCGAGCGUUGUCCGGAUUUAUUGGGCGUAAAGAGCUCGUAGGCGGUCUGUUGCGUCGGCUGUGAAAACCCGGGGCUCAACCCCGGGCCUGCAGCCGUACGGGCAGACUAGGAGGUCGCGGGAGCUGAAUUCCUGGUGGUAGCGGUGAAAAUGCGCAGGAUAAUCAGGAGGGAACACCGGUGGCGAAGGCGGGGU
rnacentral:rRNA from 1 species